AAGAUUUUAAGUUAUAUAAACUCAUAGCCUUCAAAGCUGUAAAAAAAAGUUUUAAUCUUUUAAAUCUUA
rnacentral:tRNA from 1 species